GGACGGGUGAGUAACGCGUGAGUAACCUGCCUUUCAGAGGGGAAUAACGUUCUGAAAAGAACGCUAAUACCGCAUAACGUACAGUUACCGCAUGGUAGCAGUACCAAAGGAGCAAUCCGCUGAAAGAUGGACUCGCGUCCGAUUAGCUAGUUGGUGGGGUAAAGGCCUACCAAGGCGACGAUCGGUAGCCGGACUGAGAGGUUGAACGGCCACAUUGGGACUGAGACACGGCCCAGACUCCUACGGGAGGCAGCAGUGGGGGAUAUUGCACAAUGGGGGAAACCCUGAUGCAGCAACGCCGCGUGUGGGAAGAAGGUUUUCGGAUUGUAAACCACUGUUCUUGGUGAAGAUAAUGACGGUAACCAAGGAGAAAGCUCCGGCUAACUACGUGCCAGCAGCCGCGGUAAUACGUAGGGAGCAAGCGUUGUCCGGAUUUACUGGGUGUAAAGGGUGCGUAGGCGGCUAGGCAAGUCAGACGUGAAAACCAUGGGCUCAACCUGUGGACUGCGUUUGAAACUGUUUAGCUUGAGUGAAGUAGAGGUAGGCGGAAUUCCCGGUGUAGCGGUGAAAUGCGUAGAGAUCGGGAGGAACACCAGUGGCGAAGGCGGCCUACUGGGCUUUAACUGACGCUGAGGCACGAAAGCAUGGGUAGCAAACAGGAUUAGAUACCCUGGUAGUCCAUGCCGUAAACGAUGAUUACUAGGUGU
rnacentral:rRNA from 1 species